UACGGAGGGUGCAAGCGUUAUCCGGAUUUACUGGGUUUAAAGGGUGCGCAGGCGGAUAUGUAAGUCAGUGGUGAAAUCUUUGGGCUUAACCCGAAAAUUGCCAUUGAUACUAUAUAUCUUGAAUGCUGUGGAGGUAAGCGGAAUAUGUCAUGUAGCGGUGAAAUGCUUAGAUAUGACAUAGAACACCUAUUGCGAAGGCAGCUUACUACGCAGAUAUUGACGCUCAGGCACGAAAGCGUGGGGAGCAAAAGGG
rnacentral:rRNA from 1 species